GCAGCAUUUUAAUACAAUGAUGUUUUCAUUCAAUUAAUGCAUUGUAAAACAUUUGUUUUUCCAUUUGUUUUCACUUUUUGCUUUUGCAUGAAAUCAGUGAUCACAAAAAACCCUGAAAAACAAAAACAACAUCUUUUCAUCUGCAUAACUGAUUUGCUUGUUUAAAAUUCAAAGCUUUUCAUUAUCCAGAAUCAUUAUGCAGGGAUUUCUAAACCCAUUGAACAUAAUGAUCCAACGCCAUCUCCCAAUCUUGAAGUCCUUGUAUCUGAGGCAGAGGAA
rnacentral:lncRNA from 1 species